UACGUAGGGUGCAAGCGUUGUCCGGAAUUAUUGGGCGUAAAGAGCUCGUAGGCGGUCUGUCACGUCGGCUGUGAAAACCCGGGGCUCAACCCCGGGCCUGCAGUCGAUACGGGCAGACUAGAGUUCGGUAGGGGAGACUGGAAUUCCUGGUGUAGCGGUGAAAUGCGCAGAUAUCAGGAGGAACACCGGUGGCGAAGGCGGGUCUCUGGGCCGAUACUGACGCUGAGGAGCGAAAGCGUGGGGAGCGAACAGG
rnacentral:rRNA from 1 species